AGAGUUUGAUCCUGGCUCAGGACGAACGCUGGCGGCAUGCCUAAUACAUGCAAGUCGAACGCGGCCAUCCGGUGCUUGCACUGGUGAAGCCGAGUGGCGAACGGGUGAGUAACACGUGAGAAACCUGCCCUGGAGUGGGGAAUAACUCGAAGAAAUUCGAGCUAAUACCGCAUACCUUCUCUUCACCGCAUGGUGAGUUGAAGAAAGAUUUAUCGCUCUAGGAGGGUCUCGCGGCCUAUCAGCUAGUUGGUGAGGUAAUGGCUCACCAAGGCAUCGACGGGUAGCUGGUCUGAGAGGACGAUCAGCCACACUGGGACUGAGACACGGCCCAGACUCCUACGGGAGGCAGCAGUAGGGAAUCUUGCGCAAUGGGCGAAAGCCUGACGCAGCAAUGCCGCGUGCGGGACGAAGGCCCUAGGGUCGUAAACCGCUUUCAGUAGGGACGAAAAUGACGGUACCUGCAGAAGAAGCUCCGGCCAACUACGUGCCAGCAGCCGCGGUGAUACGUAGGGAGCAAGCGUUGUCCGGAAUUACUGGGCGUAAAGGGCUCGUAGGUGGUUGAGUAAGUCAGAUGUGAAAUCUCAGGGCCCAACCCUGAGCCUGCAUUUGAUACUGCUCUGACUAGAGUCCGGUAGGGGAGUGCGGAACUCCUGGUGUAGCGGUGAAAUGCGCAGAUAUCAGGAAGAACACCGACAGCGAAGGCAGCACUCUGGGCCGGUACUGACACUGAGGAGCGAAAGCAUGGGUAGCAAACAGGAUUAGAUACCCUGGUAGUCCAUGCCGUAAACGUUGGGCACUAGGUGUGGGGAGAACUCAACUCUCUCCGCGCCGUAGCUAACGCAUUAAGUGCCCCGCCUGGGGAGUACGGCCGCAAGGCUAAAACUCAAAGGAAUUGACGGGGGC
rnacentral:rRNA from 1 species